rnacentral:rRNA from 1 species
CAGCAGCCGCGGUAAUACGAAGGGGGCUAGCGUUGCUCGGAAUUACUGGGCGUAAAGCGCACGUAGGCUGCUUUGCAAGUCAGAGGUGAAAGCCCGGGGCUCAACCCCGGAUGUGCCUUUGAGACUGCAGGGCUAGAACGUCGGAGAGGUGAGUGGAAUUCCGAGUGUAGAGGUGAAAUUCGUAGAUAUUCGGAAGAACACCAGUGGCGAAGGCGGCUCACUGGACGACUGUUGACGCUGAGGUGCGAAAGCGUGGGGAGCAAACAGGAUUAGAUACCCCCGUAGUCCCUGUCUCUUAUAC